rnacentral:rRNA from 1 species
UACGUAGGGGCGAGCGUUAUCCGGAAUUAUUGGGCGUAAAGAGUGCGUAGGUGGCCAUGUAAGCGCGGGGAGAAAGGCAAUAGCUUAACUAUUGUAAGCCUUGCGAACUGUAUGGCUUGAGUGCAGGAGAGGAAAGUGGAAUUCCUAGUGUAGCGGUGAAAUGCGUAGAUAUUAGGAGGAACACCAGUGGCGAAGGCGACUUUCUGGACUGUAACUGACACUGAGGCACGAAAGCGUGGGGAGCAAACAGGAUUAGAUACCCCGGUAGUCCCU